rnacentral:rRNA from 1 species
UCGAACGCUGAAGCCCAGCUUGCUGGGUGGAUGAGUGGCGAACGGGUGAGUAACACGUGAGUAACCUGCCCCCUUCUUUGGGGUAACGCCCGGAAACGGGUGCUAAUACUGGAUAUUCACUGGCCUUCGCAUGGGGGUUGGUGGAAAGGUUUUUUCUGGUGGGGGAUGGGCUCGCGGCCUAUCAGCUUGUUGGUGGGGUGAUGGCCUACCAAGGCUUUGACGGGUAGCCGGCCUGAGAGGGUGACCGGUCACAUUGGGACUGAGAUACGGCCCAGACUCCUACGGGAGGCAGCAGUGGGGAAUAUUGCACAAUGGGCGAAAGCCUGAUGCAGCGACGCCGCGUGAGGGAUGACGGCCUUCGGGUUGUAAACCUCUUUCGCUCAUGGUCAAGCCGCAGCUUUGGGUUGUGGUGAGGGUAGUGGGUAAAGAAGCGCCGGCUAACUACGUGCCAGCAGCCGCGGUAAUACGUAGGGCGCGAGCGUUGUCCGGAAUUAUUGGGCGUAAAGGGCUUGUAGGCGGUUGGUCGCGUCUGCCGUGAAAUCCUCUGGCUUAACUGGGGGCGUGCGGUGGGUACGGGCUGACUUGAGUGCGGUAGGGGAGACUGGAACUCCUGGUGUAGCGGUGGAAUGCGCAGAUAUCAGGAAGAACACCGGUGGCGAAGGCGGGUCUCUGGGCCGUUACUGACGCUGAGGAGCGAAAGCGUG